rnacentral:rRNA from 1 species
CCAAUAGCGUAUAUUAAAGUUGUUGCAGUUAAAAAGCUCGUAGUUGAACCUCGGGAUCAAUGGAUCGGUCAUGCCAUCGGUAUGUACUGGUCUCAUUGGUUCUCACCGUCUAAGGAACCAUGAUGUCAUUCAGUUGAUGUUGUGGGGAAUUAGGACUGUUACCUUGAAAAAAUUAGAGUGUUUAAAGCAGGCUAACGCUUGAAUACAUUAGCAUGGAAUAAUGAAAUAGGACAUCGCAUUCUAUUUUGUUGGUUUCUAGGAUCGAUGUAAUGAUUAAUAGGGAUAGUUGGGGGCAUUAGUAUUCAAUUGUCAGAGGUGAAAUUCUUGGAUUUAUUGAAGACUAACUACUGCGAAAGCAUUUGCCAAGGAUGUUUUCAUUAAUCAAGAACGAAAGUUAGGGGAUCGAAGACGAUCAGAUACCGUCGUAGUCUUAACCAUAAACUAUGCCGACUAGGGAUCGGAUGAUGUUGAUUUUUUAAUGACUCAUUCGGCACCUUACG